GUGAAAAGGAAACUCCUGCACUGGCUUCUGGUCUUUAGGAGUUCUGGUGAUAGCCUUGGCUUUUGGUAGGAUGGACUUGCCAAAGACUCUGGUGAGCUGAUUUCCAGCUAACAAAAGGUGUACAAGUUCUGUGAAGAAAGUUUGGUGUGAUAAACAAAAGAAGGCUCAAUAUACCUGGCAAUUGGAGUAUGGUUUCAAGUCUGGGAGAUCUGUGAAGACCAAUGGCUAUCACAGUCUUUAGAGGGAUAAUCAUAGACAGUUUACUACAUCAGGCAUGUGCUUCAUGGCUGUCCUUGUGUGUGAGAAGUUGAGCUGCAUGAAAUGGACACAGUGACGCUUAUUUAAG